rnacentral:rRNA from 1 species
UACGUAGGGUGCAAGCGUUGUCCGGAAUUAUUGGGCGUAAAGCGCUCGUAGUCGGUCUGUCGCGUCUGCUGUGAAAACUCGGGGCUUAACCCCGGGCCUGCAGUGGGUACGGGCAGACUAGAGUGCGGUAGGGGAGAAUGGAAUUCCUGGUGUAGCGGUGAAAUGCGCAGAUAUCAGGAGGAACACCGGUGGCGAAGGCGGGGCUCUGGGCCGUAACUGACGCUGAGGAGCGAAAGCGUGGGGAGCGAACAGG